AUGGCGGCGGCCGUCGCCGAGGCUGCCAAGCGGGAGGCGCUCCGCGACGACCGGGACGCCAUCUCCGUCGUCAUAGGAGCGCGCGUCCCCGGAUCCGCCGCUGAGGGCGAUGCAGCCGAAGGAAACAUCAAGGACACCGUGCUCGACAACUUCUCUGUCUCUGCGCGAGGGAAGGAGCUGCUCAAGGGCGCCUCCCUCCGGAUCUCGCAUGGUCGCCGCUACGGGCUCGUGCCUGUGCCCAAGAACAUUGAUGUCCUGCUUGUGGAGCAGCAGAUUGUUGGUGAUGACCGCUCGGCAACCGAGGUGGUGGUUGCAGCCAAUGAGGAGCUCACGGCGCUCCGGUCUGAGCAGGCAAAGCUUGAGGCCUCUAACGACCCCGAUGACAACGACAAGCUUGCCGAGGUAUAUGAGAAACUAAAUCUAUGCGACUCUGAUGCUGCACGCGCGGGUGCGUCCAAAAUCCUCGCGGGGCUGGGGUUUGAUCAGGCGAUGCAGGCAAGGUCCACAAAGUCCUUCAGUGGUGGCUGGAGGAUGCGCAUCUCGCUUGCCCGUGCUCUCUUCAUGCAGCCAACAUUGCUGCUCCUUGAUGAGCCUACCAACCAUUUGGACCUCCGAGCUGAUCAACAAGCAACCAUGUCUUUCAAAAUAUAUUCUACAAUGAGUGGGAGGACGGAGGCGGAAGAGGUUCUGGGUGGAUGCACCGCCAUGGGGAACCUGUACGCAGGGCCGACAGAUCGAGACCGUGAUGAGCAAGGGGGUCAGAAUGCAAGAGCAGCGGGUGGGAGGGGUUAG
rnacentral:rRNA from 1 species